rnacentral:rRNA from 1 species
AACGUAGGUGGCGAGCGUUAUCCGGAUUUACUGGGCGUAAAGGGUGUGCAGGCUGCCCCGUCAAGUGGUGUAUGAAAGGGCUCGGCUCAACCGGGCUAGGUUAUGCCAGACUGAGGGCUAGAGAGCGAGAGCGGGACGUGGAAUUCCGGGUGUAGUGGUGAAAUGCGUAGAGAAUCCGGAGGAACCCCAGAGGCGAAGGCGGCGAUCCGUGGC